CCCAUCGGAUACACAUAUAGAUGUAUGGGAAUUCAUUGAUGUGGAGAUUGAUGAUGCCUCAGCCUCACUCAUGCACAUCAUCAAACAUUAUACAACAUGAUGGAUGAUGAAUGGUGGGUGUGGAUGCAUUGUAUUGUAUGGAUUUGGUGUUGUAGGCAUAGCAUAGCAUCUUCUCCUGCCCAGUACCAACCCCUAGUCCUAGUCCUAGUUGGUUUGGACUUUCCUUUUACUGCAUUUGAAAAUCCUGACACUUCUAAAGCUUCCCUGCAAAUGCCCAAUCUGAAAGAAUAGACACAAUCAGGCCCCAAUGCCCAAUGCCCCUUCCUUGUUUGUUGUAAUUGUAUGUAUUCCCAAUCCAAUACCAGUAGUAGUAAUUGCUGAAGCAGGCUACUACAGAUUUAGUAGCCAUUAUUAAUAUUGGUAAUUGCUACUAAUUUUCUCUUUCUCUGCUGUAUAGCUAGGUAAUGUUUAAGCACUCAGUCAGUAUAAACGAAAGAAUGGACAGUAGUAGACUAGCACUAGCAGCAGCAGCAGUGUUUUUGUAUAAUAAUCCCCUUUGACCAACUAUUAUCUUUAUCUCUGCAACUGGAACUGGAACGGGAAGGAAAGGCAGGCUUUUGAAUUCAAUCUUAUCUUCUCUCUACCUGCUCUUCAAUUUCAGACCUAUAAUCAUCAUUCUUUCUUUUACUUUACCCAUUUCAGGGUCAGGGGAGGUAAUGUGAUUGAUUGUGGGGGUGGGGGAUAUGGUUAUUUCAAUUAUUCACACACCAAGUCAAAUUCGAGUGUGGGGAAGUUCGGGUGGGUCAUCACUCUAGGCCCAAUCAAAAUCCUCAUUACUUCUUAACAUACCAAAUCUUUUACUCAGUGUUAGGAGGGCCUCUGUGGUCGAAGCCCAAUCUCUGAUGGAACAAUUGAAAGUCCACUAAAUCCGCCCACAAGUAACCUCCAAUUUUGCAUCCUACAAUACGCUGUUUCAGUGGGCAGAAUAAUCGUAAACAUGGCGGAUCCAGGAAGCCAGUCGGUUCGUUCAGCGUCACAAGAAAUUUCGAGAGAGUUCAAAACCCUAGUUGAUUCUCAGGACUUGGAUUCUAUCAAACAAUCACAAAACCUCAUAUUGGGAAGAUUGCAGGACAGCAAUGCAGUAUUAUCACACUUUAAUGAGUACUCAGAGAAUUGCUUUUCCGAAGUGUCUGCGGAUUUUUCCAGGAACACACGCCUCUUAAGAUCUAUGAAAUCGGACCUCGAUUACAUCUUUCAGAAGCUCAGGAGUCUGAAGGCAAAGAUCAUGGAAACCUAUCCAGAUGCUUUUCCUGAUGAUUCAGCAAUUGAGGCACUUGAUCAAAGACCAGACCUCGAGUUGCCUAGGUGAAUCUGGAAGGUGAAAAAAGGGAUAAACAAUGAAGGAAUGCAACGCCAAUGUGAGAAGUGCAGUUGAGAAAGAGAGGACCAAGAUGAGAGAGAGGCAAAGGAGGUCCAUCACCACCAACAUCUUCCACGGCCUCCGUAAGCACGGUGGCUACCGCCUCUCCCCUCGCGCUGACAUCAAUCAAGUCCUCCGCCAUCUUGCUCAAGAAGCUGGCUGGAUCGUCGAGCCUGAUGGCACCACCUACCGCUCCGCCACCACCACUAACUCUAAUGGGACUAAUUCAUGCCCGGUCUGCGGUGGGGGAAGGAAAAGUGUGCCGCCGAAGCCAAGCUGCUGCAUCUUGGGUGGCGGAGGAGAAAGUUCAACCUCAACCUCGCCCCACCACAUCACAGUCGGAGACUCCACCGUGAACAACCUCUCAUCUGGUGGCCUUCUGCCCUCCUUUUCAUCAACUAGUACUGUCAUGUCUACAAACGAAACCCUUCUGGCUAUUUACAUGUGCGGAGCCGCGCCACCACAAAAUGCCGCCUGUUCCCCCGCGUAUAGGGAAGGUCAGCACUUAUACUUAUUGCACGAGGCUAGUAUUUCCAAUCAGAACAGCUAGCUGGAUCUCCUUGAUGCGAGGAGGCCUUCUGGUCUAAGAAUAUUUCUUUUUUGCUUGAUACUGUAGUAAUUAAUAUAUUAUCCGCUGCUCUUUUACAACUUUAAGGCAAUAGUGGGAGAGGGGUACAAAUAAAUUGAAGAUGAACUAUGCAAGUAUACUUCUUACAUUGAAACAAAUAAAAGGAGAUGGGAUGCAAGGAUGCAAUUUCUAAAAGCAGGUUGAAUUAAUUAUGAACUGUGCAAGGACGCAAUUUUUAAAAGCACGUUUCUACCAAAGCAAGAACUGCGUAUAAAAGCGACUCAAACUGCUUUGUACGUAUCCCUUGAAUCCGAGUUUCACAAGAGAUCAGUAAGAAUAAAAACAAGAAACAUUACUUGCUACAUGGCUCAGCUCAGAUGAUAAUGAAUUCGAACAUGCACUAUCAACACUGACUAAAUAUUUAAACUAAAAGGAGCCUGAUGAAGCACUUCCCAGGCUGCGGCUGACCAUACAAGGAGCCCAGAGAGUCUUUUUUUGGACAACCAACUUCUAAAUCUUCGAAAUGGUUAAAAGAAACCAGGAAUUUCACCCGGCAUGGGAGCCAAUUCAUUGUUGUUGAACCUUUCCUCAUCAUAAAAACAAGCGCGUACAA